rnacentral:rRNA from 1 species
UCCUACGGGGCGCAGCCGUGAGGAAUAUUGGUCUAUGGUCGGGAGACUGAACCAGCCAAGCCGCGUGAGGGAUGAAGGUACAGAGUAUCGUAAACCUCUUUUGUCAGGGAACAAAGGCGGGGACGUGUCCCCGGAUGAGUGUACCUGAAGAAAAAGCAUCGGCUAACUCCGUGCCAGCAGCCGCGGUAAUACGGAGGAUGCGAGCGUUAUCCGGAUUUAUUGGGUUUAAAGGGUGCGCAGGCGGUCUGUUAAGUCAGCGGUCAAAGCCCGGGGCUCAACCCCGGCCCGCCGUUGAAACUGGCAGG